UUUUUUAAUCUACUUGCUCCGAGGGAGGGAGGGAGCUUGGGAUCGAUGGGAGCAGAGGGGCGGAGGUCGGCGUGGGCGGCGGCGUGGGCUAGACCGAGAGGUGGAGUGCUGCUGCGCCAAGAGGGCCGCUUCUGGGGGGAGGAGUACGGGAGAGGCUGGAGGGAGAAGAGUGCUGUGAGCGGGGACGCGCGUGCUGGAGGGGGAGGAGGAGGAGGGCGCGGCAAGCGGCGGGGCGUUUGAGGCCGUCUUGAGGCCGUCGGCAAUAGGCGGGAAGCGGCGCCCUCGGCGACAUCCUCGGCGAGCGGCGACCUCGGCGGUGGCCGUCUUCGGCGUCGGGCUCGUCGGCGCCCUCGGCGAGCGGCGACGUCGGCGGCGGGCGCCCUCGGCGGCGCCCAGCGGCGAUAUCGACCCCGGCGACGCCCAGCGGGAAGCGGCGUCCAGUGGCAGCCUCGGCGGGGUGGGGACCUAGGCGGGCGGCGGCCUCGGUGGGCAGCGCGAGGGUGAAUCGAACCGGAGGCGGGGCGGCGGGGGCCAGGAGUUCGUUGGAUGAAGUUAAAAUCCACUCGACCGUUCCUAGUGUUCGUAGCCACAACGUAAGGACUUAGAGUGUAUGUAUUUUUCAUCCGGUAAACAAGGUCCGAAAGUUCAAAUACGGUAUUGGACUUCCUCUUUCUCAAGUGAUAACUGGUCGUCAAUUUUCGUCUUAAAAGAUCGUAUACUUGAUAGUGUACUUAAAACGACCGAGACCACCACCGCGGCGGGUCCUGCGGCCACCGCCUCUGUCUCCGUUAAACAUGACCCUGCAGCACCGGCUCGGCGUUCUGGAGGCGGAACUGCUCGACGACCUGGCUACGGAGCUGCUCUGUGGCCUGGAACCGGAGGGAGACCAAAAGUACGACCUUGUCAAAACAUCUCUGUUUAACCUUCUCACGUCGACGGGACCGAGUACCUUAACCUUCUUAAAUACGAAAAAAGAUGAGUCUUUCCUUCGAUAAAAAAAGACCUAGCAUCUAUGUUUCCUACGUUGAAACAGUCCCCAUCAUCUAUGUUUCAAGUCACAGAUGUCGUAUAUUUGAUCUUCGGCACGAAGGCCAAAGUUGUAUAUUUGAAAAAACCAGUAUGUUAGACUUUAAAAUCGUAAAGUGUAUCUGUUGGAUAGUAAACACCAAGUGGUGUAAAUGUACGAGACUAAGGGUACGAGUACAGUUAUUCAUAUACUGUCUUUAAAGUUUCAUAGCACAAUCAAUCUUAAUAGUGUACCCAUGGGUAAAAAGAGGUACUUUUAUGGAGUACAUUACGAUACAAGGUAUAAAAGAUGUAAUACUAUUCAAGUAUUAAAUAUAUAACAAAGUUGUAAUAUAAAAAAUGACUCUGUACGUCGGGAUAUAAGAUAAAGACGAAGUUAUAUAAGAGGGUACACGUAAGAUUAUCUGUUAACCGGGAGAAAAAACACUAUUACUUGAGGCACUAAUUACUAUCAGGAACUACUUUACGGUGAUUCAAUCAGAUGAUAGAGUUCAGUCUAAGUUAUUAUUAAAUAAAAUGUAACGGUAGAAAGAACUAAUGUAUGGUACAGUAACGUCUACUAGAGUCCAUUAGUCUAGGUUGUGGUUUUAAGUUAAACUCAACGAAAAUUUACGAAGACCUUCCGUCUACUACAACUAUACUAUGUAACAUCAAAUACAAACCAUCCGAUACUAUAAAAAAGGGAUUUUACAGUGUAAAGAAUUAAGGUUUUAAAUUAACAACAUCCGACUUGUACUCGUACAGACAAACACCACAACUCCAUUUCGAGUCUAACUAUGUGUCAUCUCGGUUCCCGUACAGCACCUGGUUGAUAUCGUUCGACCCGUCGCACACGUCGAUCGAAGCCCUCACUUUACUCUAUUAUGUCUCGUACUGUACACGGCUAUCGUACUUUAACCUCCUCGACUUAAGAUAUAACCAAGGAACAACUGGAGAGUGGGACGACUACAUCAAGACAUAACAUGUCCACUAACGUGAACACCUUCCUAAUCGGGUGGUCACGAGUCUGCCUUGCACGUAAGAUUCGGUCUAAGUCCACGAGACGAGGUCGGAAGUUGUUCAGUUAGAACAAAUCAUGAUACCUCACGUUUGAUACGUCUACUACAAACACAAAUCUUCAAAGAUGAUCCUGUGUAUAUUGAGAAACCCACCCAGUCCACGGGGGAAAGAGUAUGUUAACUCAGCAUAAGUGAAACUCACAUUGAACAUCGGAACAUUUAAUUUCUCUUGUACACAACUAAGGGAUCAAAUAUCGACUGGAACGUGCGGUUUCAACCUGUUCUAUAAUAACUCGAUUUUAUAAGUUUACGUUCCGACUCCGAUUAUAACAUCGAUACGGGUUCCGAAACUUAUUUUAUUAAACCACACAACGAGCUUACAGUUAAAUCACACUUAUAUGUGGGGAAAAAGUUACUCUUACCUUGAUUGUC
rnacentral:rRNA from 1 species